AUUCAGCUGACUAGUCUCAAAUAGGACGAAACAUGAGUCCUGGAU
rnacentral:hammerhead_ribozyme from 1 species